GAAGUGCAAGAUCAAGGCACUGGCAGAUUCAGCGUCUGGUGAGGACCUGCUUCCCUGUUCCUGCAGCAACCCUGGAUCCNGGUGACCCACGCUGCAGCUGCAGCAACCCUGGAUCCCUUAACCCACUGCACCAGGCCAGGGAUCCAACCUGUGCCUCCACAUCGACCUGAGCUGCUGUAGUCAGGUUCCUAACCCACUGCACCACAGCAGGAACUCCAUCCUGGUUUCUCUUUCAUAGGGGCAUUAAUUCCACUAUGAGGGUUCCACGCUGAUGCCCUCAUCACCUCCCAAAGGCCCCACUUCCACAUACCAUCACGUUAGGAUCAACAUAGGAUCCCACUGCGUGUAUAGCACGGAUCUGAGAAGGUCUCUGGCCCCGGCUCCCAGCUGCGGCUAAUUCGCCAAGAGGAGCCAGUGCUCGCAAUGGAGGGGGGCAGACGUGCAGGAGCUGGGAGGGUCCUCGGACCUGGGCUCCCCGCCCCUCCACUGCCGUCAACCCCUGGUAACAGGGGAGCUGCGAUGGAGCCUGGUGCCCAGACAUACUGUCCUCAGUGGGGCACUGGGGCUGGCACAAUGCAGGGCCAACCAAGGACUCCCUCCAAGAUAACUAGUCCAGAUCUGAGCACAGAAGUGGCGUGGGGCGGGAAAGUGACAAACACCAACUCUGCUUUGUCCAUGGCCCACACAACACAGUCGCUACCCCUGGCGACAUUUCUAGUGAUGCCGAGGUUCAGCCUUCCCUUCUCCUUAGGGUAUCUGUAACACCUAUGAAUUUCAGUCAAAAAAUGCAGGUGGGGAGUUCUGUUGUGGCUCAGCAGGUUAAGAGCCCGUCUAGGAUCCAUGAGGAUAUGGGUUCGAUCCCCGGCUUCAUUCGGUAAAAGGAUCUGGCACUGCCAUGCAAUGUGGUGUAGGUCACAUAUGUGGCUUGGAUCCUGCAUUACUCUGACUGUGGUGUAGGCUGAUAGCUGCACCUCCGAGUAGACCCCCUCCUGGGAACUUCCAUAUGU
rnacentral:lncRNA from 1 species